rnacentral:rRNA from 1 species
GAUGAACGUUAGCGGCAGGCCUAAUACAUGCAAGACGAACGGUAAGUUGAGUAGCAAUACUUAGCCAAGAGUGUCGUACGGGUGCGUAACACGUAUGCAACCUACCCUAUACAGGAGGAUAGCCUAGGGAAACCUGGAUUAACCCUUCAUAGUAUUAUUGGAUGGCAUCAUUUGAUAAUUAAAACUGAGGUGGUAUAGGAUGGGCAUGCGUCUGAUUAGUUAGUUGGCGGGGUAAUGGCCCACCAAGACGAUGAUCAGUAGGGGUUCUGAGAGGAAGAUCCCCCACACUGGCACUGAGAUACGGGCCAGACUCCUACGGGAGCAGCAGUAGGGAAUAUUGGUCAAUGGAUGCAAGUCUGAACCAGCCAUGCCGCGUGCAGGAAGAAGGGCCUUCUGGGUUGUAAACUGCUUUUGCCAGGGGAUAAAAUUACCAUGCGUGGAAAACUGAAGGUACCUGGUGAAUAAGCCACGGCUAACUACGUGCCAGCAGCCGCGGUAAU